AUUGAACGCUGGCGGCAUGCCUUACACAUGCAAGUCGAACGGUAGAGGGGGCGACCCCUUGAGAGUGGCGAACGGGUGAGUAAUGCAUCGGAACGUGCCCAGUUGUGGGGGAUAACGUAGCGAAAGCUACGCUAAUACCGCAUACGACCUGAGGGUGAAAGCGGGGGACUCGCAAGAGCCUCGCGCAAUUGGAGCGGCCGAUGUCAGAUUAGCUAGUUGGUGGGGUAAAAGCUCACCAAGGCGACGAUCUGUAGCUGGUCUGAGAGGACGACCAGCCACGCUGGGACUGAGACACGGCCCAGACUCCUACGGGAGGCAGCAGUGGGGAAUUUUGGACAAUGGACGCAAGUCUGAUCCAGCCAUGCCGCGUGCAGGAAGAAGGCCUUCGGGUUGUAAACUGCUUUUGUCAGGGAAGAAAUCCUCUGGGCUAAUAUCCUGGGGGGAUGACGGUACCUGAAGAAUAAGCACCGGCUAACUACGUGCCAGCAGCCGCCGUAA
rnacentral:rRNA from 1 species